GCCUAAAGCGUCCGUAGCCUGAUCUAUAAGUUUCCGGUUAAAUCCACAUGCUCAACAUUUGGGCUGCCGGAAAAACUGUAGAUCUAGGGAGUGGGAGAGGUAGACGGUACUCGGUAGGAAGGGGUAAAAUCCUUUGAUCUAUUGAUGACCACCAGUGGCGAAGGCGGUCUACCAGAACACGUUCGACGGUGAGGGAUGAAAGCUGGGGGAGCAAACCGGAUUAGAUACCCGGGUAGUCCCAGCUGUAAACGAUGCAGACUCGGUGAUGCAUUGGCUUGUGGCCAGUGCAGUGCCGCAGGGAAGCCGUUAAGUUUGCCGCCUGGGAAGUACGUACGCAAGUAUGAAACUUAAAGGAAUUGGCGGGGGAGCACCACAAGGGGUGAAGCCUGCGGUUCAAUUGGAGUCAACGCCAGAAAUCUUACCCGGAGAGACAGCAGAAUGAAGGUCAAGCUGAAGACUUUACCAGACAAGCUGAGAGGUGGUGCAUGGCCGUCGCCAGCUCGUGCCGUGAGAUGUCCUGUUAAGUCAGGUAACGAGCGAGACCCUUGCCUCUAGUUGCCACCAUUGCUCUCUGGAGCAGUGGGGCGAAUUAGCGGGACCGCCGCAGUUAAUGCGGAGGAAGGAAAGGGCUACGGCAGGUCAGUAUGCCCCGAA
rnacentral:rRNA from 1 species